rnacentral:rRNA from 1 species
UGGGGAAUAUUGCACAAUGGGCGCAAGCCUGAUGCAGCCAUGCCGCGUGUAUGAAGAAGGCCUUCGGGUUGUAAAGUACUUUCAGCGGGGAGGAAGGGAGUAAAGUUAAUACCUUUACUCAUUGACGUCACCCGCAGAAGAAGCACCGGCUAACUCCGUGCCAGCAGCCGCGGUAAUACGGAGGGUGCAAGCAUUAAUCGGAAUUACUGGGCGUAAAGCGCACGCAGGCGGUUUGUUAAGUCAGAUGUGAAAUCCCCGGGCUCAACCUGGGAACUGCAUUCGAAACUGGCAGGCUAGAGUCUUGUAGAGGGGGGUAGAAUUCCAGGUGCAGCGGUGAAAUGCGUAGAGAUCUGGAGGAAUACCGGUGGCGAAGGCGGCCCCCUGGACAAAGACUGACGCUCAGGUGCGAAAGCGUGGGGAGCAAACAGG